rnacentral:rRNA from 1 species
ACCAGACUACUAACUCUACUUAUUAAAUUAAAUAACUAUAAACUAAAACAUUCUUAUAAUUUUAGUAUGGGCGACAGAAAUAAUAUUUAGACGUAAUAAAGUACCGUAAGGGAACGUUGAAAAAGAAUUUAAACAAACAACAAAAGUAAAAAAAAGCAAAGAUUAAUUCCUGUACCUUUUGCAUAAUGAUCUAGCCAGUCAAUACAAGGCAAAAAGACUUUAAGUCAUAACCCCGAAACUAGACGAGCUAUUUAGGAGUAAUCUAUAACAGGAUUAAUUCAUCUCUGUGGCAAAAGAGUGAAAAAACUUCUAAAUAGAGGUGAUAUACCUACCAAGCCUAGUGAUAGCUGGUUGCUCAAGAAACGAGUUUAAGCUCAUCCUUAAUUCUUAUUUAAUUAAUUAAAUAAACUAAUGAAAAUUUAAGAGAUAUUUAAAAGGGGUACAGCCCUUUUAAAAAAGGACACAACCUAUUACAAUGGGUAAUGAUUAUAAUACUUUUAAAUUACCCAAGUAAGCCUAAAAGCAGCUACCUAUUCAGAAAGCGUCAUAGCUCAAGUAAUUCAACAACCAAAUUCCAAUAUUCACUCAAAACCCAUCAACCCUAUUGAGCCUACCUAUAUUAUUAUAGUUAAAUUUAUGCUAGAAUAAGUAAUAAGAAACACAAAUUUCUCUUAACAUACGUGUAAAUCAGUAUGAAUAAAUCACUGAUAAUUAUCGAUAUAUGAGCCUUAAUUGAUUAUACACUAGAAAUAAAACCUAAUUUUAUCGUUAACCCUACACAGGAAUGUCUUAAGGAAAGACUAAAAGAUAAAGAAGGAACUCGGCAAACCUUUAAGCUUCGCCUGUUUACCAAAAACAUCACCUCUAGCUAACAACAUAUAUUAGAGGCACUGCCUGCCCAGUGACUACGUUCAACGGCCGCGGUAUUCUGACCGUGCAAAGGUAGCAUAAUCACUUGUCUUUUAAAUUAAGACUAGUAUGAACGGCAACACGAAAGCCUAACUGUCUCCUUUAUCCAGUCAAUGAAAUUGAUCUUCUCGUGAAAAAGCGAGAAUACAUUAACAAGACGAGAAGACCCUAUGGAACUUUAAACACAUUAACCACUUUUUCAUUUUACCUACUAUACAAUAUAAAAAAUCUGGUAUACUGUUUUUGGUUGGGGUGACCAAGGAGAAAAAUAUAACCUCCAUGAACCACACUAAGACUAACAUAAUCAAAGUAUUAAAAUUUUAAAUUUAUGACCCAAUAAACUUGAUCAACGAACCAAGCUACCCUAGGGAUAACAGCGCAAUCUUCUCCAAGAGCCCAUAUCGCCAAGAAGGUUUACGACCUCGAUGUUGGAUCAGGAUUACCAGACAGUGCAGCCGCCGUCAAAGGUUUGUUUGUUCAACAAUUAAAAUCCUACGUGAUCUGAGUUCAGACCGGAGUAAUCCAGGUCAGUUUCUAUCUAUUCAAUAAUCCAUUUUAGUACGAAAGGACCAAAUGGAUAAAGCCAAUAUAUAAUACAAGCUUCAACAUAAUUAAUGAUUUAGACUAAAUUUAAUUAUAAAAUAUACCUCUAAAACAGAGCUUU